GAGAAAGAUGUUACUGAGACUUCAGGGUAGUGAUGCCCACCUACGACCAUGAUGGAAUCUUGGCCUGUGCUGCGGCCAAGGACCAUGUCUAGGUCUGUGGCCAUGCAGUUGCCACCAAAGGCCAGGCACACGUCCCUGGUCUGGGCUGUUGAUUAUGGACACGUUGAUAUAUGUGAUCUGCGCAGAACUGGGUCUGCUACUCACAUGGACAUAGUGGGAGUGCUGGACCUGAGGAGUUAAGAGAAGGAGCGCUCAUCUCGUCCCUAACCAGCUGGGUAGAACUGGCACAUGACCCUGAAAGGACAGUAGAGUUGUUCCUCUUUGCUUGUGUUCGUAAUUGAGUUGCCUCAAGAUCAAUAUGAAACUGCCUUGGAUACAGAAAGUCAAUAGCUACUUCCAAAGUCAGCCCUGUGCAGUGUAGGUGUCUGUAAAGAAAAAUUCCAGCUGCUGCUUCAGAGGAAAUCUACAUCUGCAUAACAAAACUUGGAGUGUUGACUUGAAAUCUUGGCCUUUCGGUGAUGAUACCCAAUAUGUACAGUACAUGAGAGGCAUCCUGAGGAAUACAAAUCAUAAAGAAACAAGGAAAACAGCUUCAUAUUGUUGUUCAAUUCACAUUCAGAUAUAUGUGUUUUCUUUCUUCUUUCAAUGCAAUUAAUACGAACAUAAUUUUUGAAUACAUUGGAUAAACCUAUAUUUUUCUCAAAAAUGC